GGUUAAGUGAAUAAGGCGCACGGUGGAUGC
rnacentral:rRNA from 1 species